rnacentral:rRNA from 1 species
AUUUUCCGGUUGAUCCUGCCGGACCUGACUGCUAUCGGAUUGGUACUAAGCCAUGCGAGUCAUUGUAGCAAUACAAGGCGGACGGCUCAGUAACACGUAGUCAACCUAACUCGUGGACGUGGAUAACCUCGGGAAACUGAGAAUAAACCGCGAUAGAUCAUUAUGCCUGGAAUGGCUUAUGGUCCAAAUAGUUUGCUGCCAUGGGAUGGGACUGCGGCCUAUCAGCUUGUUGGUGAGGUAAUGGCCCACCAAGGCUAUAACAGGCACGGGCUCUGAGAGGAGAAGCCCGGAGAUGGGUACUGAGACACGGACCCAGGCCCUAUGGGGCGCAGCAGGCGAGAAACCUUAGCAAUGUGCGAAAGCACGACUGGGUCAGUCCGAGUGAUUCCUGAUAAAGGAGUCUUUUGCUUGUCCUAAAAGCACAGGUGAAUAAGGGGUGGGCAAGUCUGGUGUCAGCCGCCGCGGUAAUACCAGCACCUCGAGUGGUCAGGACGUUUAUUGGGCCUAAAGCAUCCGUAGCCGGCUCUGCAAGUCUUCGGUUAAAUCCACCUGCUCAACAGAUGGGCCGCUGGAGAUACUACAGAGCUAGGGAGUGGGAGAGGCAGACGGUAUUCAGUGGGUAGGGGUAAAAUCCUCUGAUCCA